UUGGGGGCCCUACGGGAGGCAGCAGUGGGGAAUAUUGGACAAUGGGCGCAAGCCUGAUCCAGCCAUACCGCGUGGGUGAAGAAGGCCUUCGGGUUGUAAAGCCCUUUUGUUGGGAAAGAAAUCCAGCCGGCUAAUACCUGGUUGGGAUGACGGUACCCAAAGAAUAAGCACCGGCUAACUUCGUGCCAGCAGCCGCGGUAAUACGAAGGGUGCAAGCGUUACUCGGAAUUACUGGGCGUAAAGCGUGCGUAGGUGGUUGUUUAAGUCUGUUGUGAAAGCCCUGGGCUCAACCUGGGAACUGCAGUGGAAACUGGACAACUAGAGUGUGGUAGAGGGUAGCGGAAUUCCCGGUGUAGCAGUGAAAUGCGUAGAGAUCGGGAGGAACAUCCAUGGCGAAGGCAGCUACCUGGACCAACACUGACACUGAGGCACGAAAGCGUGGGGAGCAAACAGGAUUAGAUACCCUGGUAGUCCACGCCCUAAACGAUGCGAACUGGAUGUUGGGUGCAAUUUGGCACGCAGUAUCGAAGCUAACGCGUUAAGUCGCCGCGCUG
rnacentral:rRNA from 1 species